AUCUGUGCUCUCAUAAAGAUGUUGCUGGCCUGUGCCAGAAAGAGAAACCGAUUUCUUCAUCUGGUAGCACACAGACAACAUGACCAGGAUCCCAGGACAGCCAUGCAUGGAAGGAUGAGACCUCCCAGCAACUUGGAACCGGGCUUUAUGGACACCUACACACAGUUCUGGCUGUUAAACAAGGACACGGGGACUGAACUCACUGCAUCAAACCCAGAGAUAUGCUGUAUUUGAAGAGUGAAAAGAAAUAUAGUGAUUCAUGGACUAGCCAAUCUACAGGCUCGCUGAUCAACAAAAUGGGAGCUUUAAAGCAUACAGAGAUAGACAAUGGUCUUGUUAGUAGUUCUGUGGAAAAAGAGAAUUGAGACACCAGCAUUUGCAGAAUCCCACAGUGAAACACACCCUCCAUGGACUGUGGCAUCGUGUCCCUCAUGGCAGCCCCUGGAGCCCACUUGGAGAAACCCCGGAGCAGCUGCCAGUCACAAACAGCCAGGGAAAACUUCCCCAUCCCACAACUCCUGGAGCCCCUCACCAGCCCAGCCUGGCAGGGACAGUGAGGACACUGCCCACACUGGAACACCCCACAGCUCCUGGAGCCCCUGACCAGCCCAUCCUGGCAGGGAUAGUGGGAACAGUGCCCACACUGGAACAUCCCACAGCUCCUGGAGCCCCUCACCAGCCCAGCCUGGCAGGGACAGUGGGAACAGUGCCCCUCACCCUGCCCUGGAGCCCCAGAGUGACCAGAGGCUCCGAGGCCCUGCCUGGGGGAGGCCACAGGGCCCAGAGCAGGUCAAACCCAAGGCUGUGCUCCCCACACGCUCCGGGCCCUCCCAUCCGGACACCUGAGAGCUGCUCUGCCACAGGGAGCUGACGCUGCCGAGGUCUCAAAGAAUCACAAAACUCUCAGCUCUCAUCCUGAUGCAAACCAGAGCCUCUCAGUGAGACACUCUGUCUUUUGGACACCAAGUUGUCAUCAAAAAUCUCACCAUCACUUCUUCACCUGCUCAUGUGGUGCCCAGCUGUGCCUUGUUGGCCCUGCACUUGCCUGUUGUAUGAGAUGUGCUGCUCAGAGGCUGAUGUGAUAAACUCUGGCUCUAAUGGAAAACCAGUUAGGAAGCAGAAAGAGGAGAGAUUGCAGAGCUGGGGGCAGCAAUAUCAGCUUGUGACCCAACACUGACCUGUUG